GGUUUCCUGUCUUAUAUUUAGGUCUUUCCUCUAUUUUGAGUUUAUUUUUGUGUAUGAUGUAAGAAAGCGGUCCAGUUUCAUUCUUCUGCAUGUUGCUGUCCAGUUUUCCUAACAGCAUUUGCUGAAGAGAGUGUGUUUGAUCCCAUUGGGUAAUCUU